AUCAAAAAGAAACGAGGACUCUCAUAUGACAGUAACGAUUAAAGUAAAUUACCAAACCACUUUCCAAAAGAAGGAAGCAAAAAACUAGUAUAAACAGAAGAGAGAGCGAAAUGCUCUUUUUCGU
rnacentral:sRNA from 1 species